GAGUUUGAUCCUGGCUCAGAAUCAACGCUGGCGGCGUGCCUCAGACAUGCAAGUCGAACGCGAAAGUCCCUUCGGGGGAUGAGUAGAGUGGCGCACGGGUGAGUAACACGUAGGUAAUCUACCUUCGGGUGGGGAAUAACCCAGGGAAACUUGGGCUAACACCGCAUAAUGCAGCGGCACCACAUGGUGGCAGUUGUUAAAGCGGGGGAUUUUCGGACCUCGCGCCUGAAGAGGAGCCUGCGGCAGAUUAGCUAGUUGGUAGGGUAACGGCCCACCAAGGCAACGAUGGGUAGCCGACCUGAGAGGGUGACCGGCCACACUGGGACUGAGAUACGGCCCAGACUCCUACGGGAGGCAGCAGUAGGGAAUAUUGCGCAAUGGACGAAAGUCUGACGCAGCAACGCCGCGUGGGUGAUGAAGCUUCUUGGAGUGUAAAACCCUGUCAGUGGGGAAGAAACGUACCGGUAGUAACUGACCGGUGCCUGACGGUACCCGCAGAGGAAGUCCCGGCUAACUCCGUGCCAGCAGCCGCGGUAAUACGGGGGGGACGAGCGUUGUUCGGAUUUACUGGGCGUAAAGGGCGCGUAGGCGGGCCUUCAAGUCGGAUGUGAAAUCUAACAGCUUAACUGUUAGUCUGCACUCGAUACUGUUGGUCUUGAGUACAGUAGAGGAAAGCGGAAUUCCAGGUGUAGCGGUGAAAUGCGUAGAUAUCUGGAGGAAUACCGGUGGCGAAGGCGGCAUCCUGGACCGACAUUGACGCUGAGGAGCGAAAGCUAGGGGAGCAAACGGGAUUAGAUACCCCGGUAGUCCUAGCCCUAAACGAUGAAUGCUUGGUGUGGCGGGUAUCGAUCCCUGCCGUGCCGAAGCUAACGCAUUAAGCAUUCCGCCUGGGGAGUACGGUCGCAAGGCUGAAACUCAAAGGAAUUGACGGGGGCCCGCACAAGCGGUGGAGCAUGUGGUUUAAUUCGACGCAACGCGAAGAACCUUACCUGGGCUCGAAAUGUAGUGGACCGGAGUGGAAACAUUCCUUCCCCGCAAGGGGCCGCUAUAUAGGUGCUGCAUGGCUGUCGUCAGCUCGUGUCGUGAGAUGUUGGGUUAAGCCCCGCAACGAGCGCAACCCUUAUCUCCAGUUGCUACCAUUUAGUUGAGCACUCUGGCGAAACCGCCUCGGAUAACGGGGAGGAAGGUGGGGAUGACGUCAAGUCCUCAUGGCCUUUAUGUCCAGGGCUACACACGUGCUACAAUGGCCGGUACAAACCGUCGCAAACCCGCGAGGGGGAGCUAAUCGGAGAAAGCCGGUCUCAGUUCGGAUUGUAGGCCGCAACUCGCCUGCAUGAAGUUGGAAUCGCUAGUAAUCGCGGAUCAGCACGCCGCGGUGAUACGUUCCCGGGCCUUGCACACAC
rnacentral:rRNA from 1 species